rnacentral:pre_miRNA from 1 species
GGAAUUCCGCUAGUUCUGAACUAUUCAUGUUUGGUAAAAGCUCACUACUAGCAGAACUCAG